AAGGAUUUAAGUUAAGCAAAAACUACCAACCUUCAAAGUUGUAAUUAGAGGGCUCUCUAAGCCUUA
rnacentral:tRNA from 1 species